UUGUCCUGAGGAGCCAUGAUUUCUCCAGGAGCUGGGUAAAGGGCGCCGGGAUCAGUCUGUCAAAGGAUUCCAGCCGGCUGUUCCAAUCCAGGAGGAAAACUGCCACCGAAGUCUCCAAGCACCUGGGCAGUGAAGUGCCACUUAACCCCACUGUGAUGCACAGACCUUGCCCUGGCUGUCUGCACAGGGCUGAAUUUCACCCCUUCUGAGUGUAUUCUAAGCCCCCC